rnacentral:rRNA from 1 species
CCUACGGGGGGCAGCAGUUAAGGAUAUUGCGCAAUGGGCGAAAGCCUGACGCAGCGACGCCGCGUGCCUGAAGAAGGCCUUCGGGUUGUAAAGGGCAGUAGAUGGGGACGAAGAAAGUGACGGUACCCAUUGAAAGCACCGGCUAAUUACGUGCCAGCAGCCGCGGUAAUACGUAUGGUGCAAGCGUUGCUCGGAAUCACUGGGCGUAAAGGGUGCGUAGGUGGUUAUACAAGUCUGUUGUGAAAUACAGCAGCUCAACUGCUGUGCAGCGACGGAAACU